GUUCCUUUCGUCUAGAGGUUAGGACAUCGCUUUUUCAAGGCGAGAACACGGGUUCGAUUCCCGUAAGGAAUG
rnacentral:tRNA from 1 species